UUAAUUGAAGCCAAAAUAGAGGCUUUUCAUUGUUAAUGAAAAUAUUGAUGUCAUAAUCCUAUUAAA
rnacentral:tRNA from 1 species